GACGGGGGGGGCAAGUGUUCUUCGGAAUGACUGGGCGUAAAGGGCACGUAGGCGGUGAAUCGGGUUGAAAGUGAAAGUCGCCAAAAGUGGCGGAAUGCUCUCGAAACCAAUUCACUUGAUUGAGACAGAGGAGAGUGGAAUUUCGUGUGUAGGGGUGAAAUCCGUAGAUCUACGAAGGAACGCCAAAAGCGAAGGCAGCUCUCUGGGUCC
rnacentral:rRNA from 1 species